GCAAAGUCAAACAGGGUCCACCCUGCCUGGCAAAGCCACCUGCCAUGUGCCUUUCCAGGGUGUUGUCUCCAGCCAGCAGGAGGCCUGCCUUUCUCCCACCAUCCCAUGUGAGUUGCUGUCUUCUGCUCCUUGUGUUUUCAAAAGCCGUAUCCAUCUGAGAAGGGCUGUUUGUUUAGAAAGCCUUGCCUCUCUCGGUCACGUGUGCCGCGCAUGUGAGGCGCAUUCCAUUUUUAGCCACAACAACUUCUUCACUAGACAGCUCUGCUGCAGUGACAUGUGCAGAGCCCGGGAGGGAGGAGACACGACACGUGUAUGAGCAGGAUCUGAGCCGUGCGGGGUGUGCUUGUGUGUGUAGUUUUCUGGCUACAGGAAAUUCCUGUUACAAAGCAAGGCAUGUUUUAUUUUGCAGGCUGGGAGAGCGAGGAGGGAUUUCUUUUUUUUAAAAAAAGAAGAAGGGCAGGCUCAAUGAACCAUAGGGUGAGGAGGAGGAGGAGGGACAAAAACAGCCACCCUAGACCAAGAGAUCUGUUUGUUUGGGUUUUUCAAAUAUGUCACUAAUCCCUUAGCAGAUAUUAAAGGGGAAGGGGAGGUGGGAGUUUGGGGAGGGGGAGCCCUCAAUGCAGAAGAAACUGCAGCACAACCAAAUGUGGGGUGUGUUUACAUCUGCAGCGGAUUUCAACGCCCUUUCUCCGUGAAAGAAGCAACAAAAUGCACCAGGAGGGGGGGAGAAGAAGGCGGGCGUUGUUCCUUGCCAUACACAGAACAUGUAAAGUGAAAUGUUCAUUUGGACCAAAGAGAUUAAAAGGCAAGGUGCAAGCUUUCAAGUCACAGAGCAGGGCUUUGCAGAUUCAAUUGGUUUUGAAGGGGAGGGGGAAAGUUUUCAGUUUCUGAGCAUAGUAUUUUAACCCUAUACCUAUGAACUGGUUUUUUCAUAUAAACAAUAAUAAUAAUAAUACUGUUAUUUAUUUUCAUGGUUCAGAAGAUAAAUUUUUGAGAAAACAAUUGUUACAACAGUAAACAACAAGUAACUUGUCCCGAUAAAAUUACAGUGCAGACUUUUAUCAUGCCAUAUGUUAAAGUUUCAUUUGAUUACUCGUAAGAGAUCACGUCACAUUUUCCCUUGAGUGCUGGGUGGAUUCCUGCCACAAUCUGAACCAUUUAUGUAUUCAAAUAAACAUUUGCCAUAUGUUAUAAAAGGAAUAUGGAUUGUGUUUGCCCUUUGCCGCUCCCACCUGGCAUGUUAGUUUCUCAGCCAAUGCUAUUGACCAUACUCUGUUAUACCAAGAAUCAAUGUUCAGCCCAUCACCGGUUUUCCAACGUCAUCUGUGGACUGUUUUAGCCUGUGUCAAAUAUAGGGGCCUGAGUCACAUCAUUCCAACCCCAGUUCUGAUUUAGCCGGGAUGGCUUUUUAUUUUAUUCGGAAGUCGUUGAUUUUGCAACCAGUGGCUGCUGGCAAGCAAAUUUUCAAACUUUUAUUCUUGGCAAUCAACAGUAUAGAAGUGCACAAGUGGCUGGCGAUACCAUUAUCUUUUGCAGAGCCAGAUUGGGCCGCUGUCAGCUUUUGACAUCCACAAGCCCAACCAAGUGCAUCUGAAAAGGCUACAUGUCCCCAGGCUUAGCAGAAGCCUGUCCUAUUGCUAUGUAACCUUUAUCUGUCUUGUCUUAUUUUCUGGACCCAAGAAGACAACUGUGCAUGCUGUACGAAGUUGGAGCAGACAAGUUGUUACAGAAUCACUACACACAGGAAAACCACACAGGAAAUAACAAGAUUAAUAAAACCACUUCAGUGUUCAUUCACACAAGCGAUAGAGGAAAAAAUGCCCUCUGGGGCUGAUAUAUGUCAGAGAAUUCCCACAUGUCAGUUCCGGCAUUCCAGUGGAACUCUAUGCUCGGAAUGCAGAAGGCAGCCUAUUCUGAUGGUUAAUUCUUUUGACCUGGAAAAGCCUUCGAAAGCUAAAAUUAUUUUUUCGUGCUUUCCCUUUCCCCAAGAGAUAGGAAACUCCACAGGCAGCCCUUUACAGGGCUCAUUCUCUGUGAGAUAUGUUUAUGGUCAUCUACAAAUGCACAUGUUGAGCAGAGGGCAGACACCCAGACAGAAAGGGCAAGUCUUUAAAGCAGCAUCGAUUUCCCCAAAGCAAAGCAUAACCUCUUGCAAACUACUGGGGGGGGGGGAAAUCAGAUCCUCCCCUUUCUCAUUGGCUACAAUCAAAACCACCAAGCUGUUCCCUUCAGCCCUCUUCCAAGUACAGUGGUACCUCGGGUUACAGACACUUCAGGUUACAGACUCCGCUAACCCAGAAAUAGUACCUCGGGUUAAGAACUUUGCUUCAGGAUGAGGACAGAAAUCGUGCGGCGGCAGCGGGAAGCCCCAUUAGCUAAAGUGGUACCUCAGGUUAAGAACAGUUUCAGGUUAAGAACGGACCUCCAGAACGAAUUAAGUUCUUAACCCAAGGUACUACUGCAGAUGAAAUGUCCAACAGCUAAUAGCCACCAGAACUCAGAUGUCAUCAUUGCUCAUUAAUCUAAAAUAUCCAGCUUUAUGAGCAAAAGUGUACUUUAAGAGAAGAUCAUUUUGUGUUUGCAUAAGCAUUUAUUUCUGGAAUUCUGCUUGGAAAUGCCCCAGGCAUCAGAAGGGCUUAUGCUUUAUGCUAUAUGAUAUGGGUCAGGUGUAACAGAUCCAAACAUGAAGUCUCUUAAUUGGGGCAAAGGGGGAAUAAUAUUAGUGUGCGGACAAAUAAGAAGCAGAGUAGUUUCCAUAGGGCUGGAGCAGAAUUGGGUAUAACUGUUUGAAAGAGGAAGUGAAGAGCAAUCAUAAAUUCCUGCAUACCUUAACCAGCUCAUGCAUUACCUGCAAUUUAGGGGAAGGGGCUUAAAUUUGUCAAGUGAACCAUUUUUAGGUGUAUUUAGUCCAAUCUGAAAUUAAUCCACUGGAUGGAAGGAAUAUAUAUAAAGUUGCUUCCAUUGAUGGCUGAGAAAUCAAAUUAAUAUUUGGUUUCUGAUCAUUUUACUACCAUUGUCAUUUACAUUUUGUUGCACUACCGCUACUCAUGCAAUUAUUUAGCAUUUAAUUGGUGGUGAGUACAGAAAUUGAUUCAUUUAAGAUUUCGGCUCUGUUGCAUGCAGUGGAGUUGAGGGUAAUAACAAAUUAUAAAACAGAACCUGUAAAUAAGUCCGGGGCAGCAGCUAACCUGUGGACAGAAGAUGCUGUUAUAUUCCAAGCUCCAUAUGCCCCAAACCAACAUGGCCAAUGACCAAGGAUGAUAGGAGUUGUGGUCUAACAGCAUCUGAAGUGACACCUGUUAGCAUUGAUGCAGUGCAGGGCUACUUAAGUAUUGCUAUUAUUAGAGAAGAGUUCUGCUUCUGCUACCGAGUCCUUUUCCAUUGAAUUAGGUAAAGGUAAAGGUACCCCUGACCGUUGGUCCAGUUGCGGAUGACUCUGGGGUUGCACGCUCAUCUCGCUCUAUAGGACAAGGGGGCCGGCGUUUGUCCUCAGACAGCUUCUGGGUCAUAUGGCCAACAUGACUAAGCCGCUUCUGGCAAACCAGAGCAGCCCACGGAAACGCCGUUUACCUUCCCGCCAGAGCGGUACCUAUUUAUCUACUUGCACUUUGAUGUGCUUUCAAACUGCUAGGUGGGCAGGAGCAGGGACCGAGCAAUGGGAGCUCACCCCAUCGCAGGGAUUCGAACCGCCGACCUGAUCGGCAAGCCCUAGGCUUUGUGGUUUAGACCACAGGGCCACCGCAUCCCUCCACUGAAUUAAUGAACCAUUAUUUCCUAACAAAUAAAAAUGGUGGUGGGGGGACCAAGUCAAACACAUUGCAUGGACAACAGCGCAGCAGGGUUGCAGCAGUGUCUGAUGCACAGCUCACCUUGGGACAAAAAUGGAGGUGACAUAGGUGCAUACAGGCAUGCGAGGGGAGAGCGACCGCAGCUGCACCAAGCUGACACCAGGAGCCACCUAGUGGCCAGAGGUCGUAAUGUCUGUGAAGCAUGCUGUGAUGAUUCUGUAAGCUGGCAAAUACUGUACAGUGGUACCUUGGGUUAAUAACUUAAUUCGUUCCGGAGGUCCGUUCUUAACCUGAAACUGUUCUUAACCUGAGGUACCACUUUAGCUAAUGGGGCCUCCCGCUGCCGCUGCACUGACGCAGCGCGAUUUCUGUUCUCAUCCUGAAGCAAAGUUCUUAACCUGAGGUACUAUUUCUGGGUUAGCGGAGUCUGUAACCUGAAGCAUCUGUAACCCGAGGUACCACUGUAAAUGUAAAAGCCAUGUAAUGUAAUGUAAAUGUAAAAUUGCAAAUGUCCUGUGAACAAAUAAUUACUGUAGAAUAGAGUUCCUUGCUGUCUCAUUGUGGCAAAUUCCAAAGGACUUUCACAGCAAAGCACAAAAGGCAUCCUAAAGCCCAACAGAUUCAUCAUGGCGUAAGCUUUUCUGGGCUGCGCAUUCCAUGAGACCUUAGGCUCACAGAAUAGUAGAGCUGGAAAGGACCACGAGGGUCAUCUAAUCCAACCCCUUGCAAUACAGGAAUCUUUUGCACAAUGCGGGACUCGAACCCACGAACCUGAGAUUAAGAGUCUUACACUCUACCAACUGUGCUGUCCCGCCUUAUGCCACAAAAAGAUAAGGUCUGACUUUAAGGUGCUCCAAGAUUCCUUUUUGUCUCCAGGGUUGUGUAUGUGACAACGCUAGGGAGGCGGGGAGAAGGCUGGGGAUGGGACUUCAAUAGUGUCACCUAAUGUACUACAACAAACAAACAAACAAAAAAGGUACAGGACCCCUGACAGUUAAGUCCUGUCACUAAUGACCCUGGGGUUGCGAUGCUCAUCUCACUUUACAGGCCAAGGGAGCCGGCGUUUGUCUGCAGAGUUUUUCCAGGUCACGUGGCCAGGAUGACUAAACCGCUUCUGGUGAAACCAGAGCAGUGCACGGAAAGUCCGUCUACCUUCCCGCUGGAGCGGUACCUAUUCAUCUACUUGCACUUUGACAAACCUAGGUUGAAGUAAAUGGGUGAGGGAAGGCAGAAGACCCAACCAGGUUUGAGGUAAGAAAAGGUUAAGAUUUAAAAAGGCUUCUUUGUUAUAGAUUUAACCCAAGGAAUGCUGGGAGCUGUAGCUGUAGGAGAGAGCUGGGGGUUUCACAUAGACUUUUCAGCCUUCAUACAUGGGUGAACACAGGAAUUUCCCCUCUGGGGCAGUGAGUAAAGUUAGUUUUUCAAAUAACUGGACAAAGAAGUAUAAACUGCACUGGAAAACUGGUCAACUGUUUCUGGUAGAUUUGGUGACUGAGCAGUGGCAAGACCUUGGUGGCCUUACCUUUCAGAAGCUACCUGCUCCAUUGUUUCUCAACUGGUAAGGCCUUCUGUUCAAUCUGUGCAUAGAGCUGGCAUCUAGAUGCUGGCCUUCCACCCACAAAUGAAGCCCUCCGUUCUUUUCUUGGCUAUCUCUAGCUUUUAAUGAAUUGCACUGCUGCUGCCAUCAACUUCACAGCUCCCUUACCAUUUUAAUAUGCGCAUGAGGCAUAGACAACACUGCAAUACAGUCUUGGGUUUGUUCUAGGUUACUCUGUAGGGUGGGCAUAACCCAUGCUCUCUCAGCUCUUUCCAUAUGAACCUACCUGGACCCUGAGAUCAUCUUCUGAGGCCCUCCUUUGUGUGUCCCCUCCUCAAGAGGUUUGGAGGGUGGCAACACGAGAAUGGGGCCUUUUCUGCAGUGGCUCCUCGUCUGUGGAAGUUCGCUUGGCACCCUCAUUAUACACCUUUAGGCACCAGGCAAAAACAUUCCUUUUUAACCUGGACUUUGGUUAAUCUGAUUUACAUCCUUGGCCUUUUAAAAUGUGUGUUUUUUAUGGGGGGGUAUUGAGUUGCUGUUUUUAUUUUUAUUAGGUAUUUUGUGGUUUUGCUUUUAUUCUGUGAAGCGCCCUGAGACCCCCAGGUAUAGGGUGAUAUAUAAAUUCAGUACAUUAUCAUCAUCAUCAUCCAGUCCUGUUCUUUGCAAUAUAGGUGUAAGAGUUAUCUGCAUUGGCAAUGACUGUGGUUUUUUUUUAAUGUUUACCAGCUGAGAGGUGGGAGGACUUUUUGGGGGGGUAGUGGUGAAGAAAUAAGACAUGUGUUAAAAAUAUUAUGUAUCACCAUCUUCAUUGCUACCUUUUGUUUUUGGGUACCUUUUGUCCAGUACACAGCUAUACUAAAUCCUGGCUACCUGAAUUGUUUUCUGCUGGGCAGCUAUUAUUACUCCACCAAGGAAGACAAGAAAGGAAAAAAAGGACUAAAAAAAAAGAACCCAGAAGUUCCUUCUAAAGACAGUGGGUGUUUCAUUCUAGUUAUCUCUUCAUGUGUUUGGCUAGAUCUGCUUUCCUAAACGUCAGUCAUUGCUAUGUCUUCAUUUGUUGGUUGAAAACCCUGAAAGACAGGAAGAGGUAAGUUUCUCACAAAACAAAUCGGCAAAUGUGCCUGCGCGUUUUGUCUCAUAUCUUGUGUUCUACAAGUUGUAAAAUCUUCCUGCUUGCACUAGUAGCUCUCCUGGCAAACACCCUUGGUACCACAAGAUGUCAGUUCCCAACAUUUCUUUGGAGGGGAAGCCAUUACAGUUAAACUGGAAUUGUAGCUACACUUCAGGGUGGUUUGUGGGCCUUCAUGCCCUGAGAUAGAAGGGAAGACGAAUCUGACAAUGGUUUGGAAUCUUUUAACAUUAACGGAAUCUUCAGAACAGGUGGGCAGAGGCAGUUCUGCCACCCUCAAACAUAGCAAAAUUUUACAUUUCUUGUUGUCACCUGCUCCUAAACCCCAAAUAGUGUGUGAAAGAGGAUAAGAUUCUUGGAAGUGUGAGGUCAACCAGAUGUACGCUUGACCCUUGCCCUUCCUGGCUUAUUAAGUAGUCAGAGUAUCAUGUGUCAAGUGCAUUGUAGUCAGAAAGUCUGUCUGGAUGGGUGAGGAUAGUGGUCAGUGAAUGCGUCAGUGGGACCUGAUAAAACAAGUGCCGUGGGUCCAAGCAAGAAUUCCCCAAAGCUACCUUCUGUAUGUGCCCUGAAAAUGGAAGCAAAACUAUCACAUCACCAUGCCCCUAAGUCACAGUGGAGUUAAAGCUGGGUUUGAAACUGAUUGUAUUUCUCUCUCUCUCUCUCUCUCUCUCUCUCUCUCUCUCUCUCUGUGCGUGUGUGUAGUCCACAUGACAUCCUCCUCAUCUAAGUGGCAGCCCACACUUUCCCCAGCCUAAAUUCAGAUUUUACCAAUCAGUGCAUAUGGGAAGAAACUCCAAUAUAAAAUUGCAUGUUGCUGUGGACGUACCAGAAACCCAAUGUGUGGGUGGUGGUGGUUUCUUUAAUUGUGUGAGGACAUUUCACUGGGUUUUGUCCAUCACCAGACCACCUGCUUCCAUUUUGUUCCCACCAGCACAAAGGAAAAGAUAAAGCCUGAUUUUUCUUGCUGGUUCUUGACUAUACAGGCAAACCCCCCCCCCAUUUGCACAAUUUCAAUAUGCAUGUGACUCUGCGCACGUGCAUCGUGCUGAACCCAGAAGUGACCCAAAAAUGGGGCAGAGGUGGAACAGAGUGUUUGCAGGCUUUUUCAAUAGCGUUUCAAAUAUAUGUGAUUUCACUGAUUCAUGUGGUGCCUUGGAAUGUAACCCCCACGUAAAUGGGGGGUCGCAUAUAUGUGUGUGUUUAAUUUUAAUAAAAUUAUUGUCCCCCCCC